UACGAAGGGGGCUAGCGUUGCUCGGAAUCACUUGGGCGUAAAGCGCACGUAGGCGGAUCUUUAAGUCAGGGGUGAAAUCCCGGAGCUCAACGUCCGAACUGCCUUUGAUACUGGGGAUCUUGGAGUCCGGGAGAGGUGAGUGGAACUGCGAGUGUAGAGGUGAAAUUCGUAGAUAUUCGCAAGAACACCAGUGGCGAAGGCGGCUCACUGGCCCGGUACUGACGCUGAGGUGCGAAAGCGUGGGGAGCAACAGGG
rnacentral:rRNA from 1 species